CCCCGCCACGUAAGCGAACGAAUCCUUCCCCCUACUCUGCCUCGUGUUUUUUUUCCCCACUUCUCCUCGCAUUUUUCUCAGUUUUUUUAUCUUUAUAUACCCAUCGUUGGCUUCCUGACUCCCCGUCUCUGGAUUAUUUCUUCUUGCCCGAUCUGCUUGCGUUCUCCACUGCUUCGAUUCAGUCUUUUUCUUCCAUUUCUUUCCACGUUUGGUUCUAUUGGGGUUUUCCUUCGGUAUUUGGGGGAAAGGAUCCGACCUCUAUAUUUGUUUCGGUGUUCGAUGAUGGUAGGGGAGUGGAGGGGGUCGUGGAAUAGGGAGCAGGGCUACCGUUACAAGGAAGGAGGGGGUAGAACGCCUAAAUCUUGGAGGCCGCCCCAUCCCCCUGGUUCUGAUGUUCCAUCAGUUCCUUUGUGGGAGAAGAAAUUCUGCACACGUGUGGGUGCAAUUCCAUGGAAGAGGUUUUGUGAAAACAAGAAAUUUAUGGGCAUGUAUAAAAAUGUGUUACAGUGGGAUGAUUCAGCAGCUUUAGAGGCUUUCCAGGAUGCAAAGGCCCGGUUCUAUGCAGAGUAUAAUGGUCUCCCUUGUGACAUCCCUUUGCCUGACCCAGACAUGUAUAUCGAUGAGGUUGACCAAGAUGCUGUUGUUGAUCCUGAAAUGGUGGCAGAUUUAGAAAAACCACCUCCGGCCCAUGCUGAUGUGGAUAAUACUGUAACUAAUGGCUGGGAUUCCUUUAUUUUUACAAACAAACCAGUUCCAGCUUCUGGAUGGGGUGAUACAGAAGACCCUGUCCCGUCAAAUGAGAAAACUGGUGAGUGUGGCUCUGCAAAUUGGGAUGCUUAUGUGGAACAAAUUAAACCCAGUGGAUGGGGGGAUGCAGCUGAGCCCUACUCCUCAAGUUGGGAUGUAAAGAAUGAUUCUAGCAAUGCAUGGGGUUACAGUGGUGGAGGUUGGGGAAAGGGAGUUGCACAGGACAAUCCAUUGGUUGGUGGGAGUUAUAAUUACUGGGAUAAUGGGAGGAGAAGUUCUUGGGAAACUUGGGAGAACAGAAAUAGCGAGCCUAGUAGAAGAAAUAGAAGAAAGAGAGAUGGAGGAGGCCGGUUUGGCUCAAGAUUUACUAAACCCAAGUACCAGGUUGAUGGUUAUCAAUCGAAUAGCAGCUGGGGUGAUUGCAGAGGAAGAAAUAGGGCAGACUAUCCUUAUCAGAAGACAGUAUAUGCUAAGCAACCUCUGGCUAUGUAGCAGUGAAACUCCAUGUGCUUGUCUUGGCUGAAAAAGCAUCACGGAUCAGCUGAAUGAGGUCCAUACGGUGUUGUUGCAUUGCAUGUUUAUGCACUUAAAAGACUAUUAAGAAGCUGAUGGAAUCUGUAUAGUCAAGUUUCAAUAAACUGGAAGAGACUAAGAGUGCGGUCUCAGGAGUACAACACAUUGAAAAUAAAAGAAGUACUUUUGAAAUGUGACAGGGGAUUACUUUGUUCUUAUUCCCAUCAAGGUUGUUGCAUCAGCAGUAUACCUAAUUGUCGAGCAUUGCAGGUGAAUCAAUCCAAUUAGCAUUACUGUAUGUUGACUUGUAAAUUUGGACGAGCGCAAGCUCAAAAGUAAGUGUACAACAUUUGGGAAAGUUAAACUGAUUGGUUGCUUUUAAAAGCAAAAUAAUGUUUGUUUCUUCUUGUUUCCACUUGGUGAAGACAAAUGUGUUGCCGAUACGUUAGAAUGAGUGCUUGUAGUUUUUAUCUACAUCUAGCAGAACAGGAGUACCCUAAGAGGUGCUUUCUCUGGUUACCAUGAUAAUUGUCCAUCCUUCUUUCCAGUUUACUUAUCUUAGGCUUCUUUGUGCAAAGAGAUGGGUAAUCUCCACCAUGACAUUUUCUGAUAGCUUAUCCAAAAAUUCAGCAUGUAUUUCAUUGUCAUAUAUAUUUAUGAGUUUUUGAAGAUCGAUGUUUGGAAUUGGAUCUUUUUAACGGGUGCUAGUGUUCCUUAUUUUCUUAUUUCCCCUUGUUCCAGGUAAGUGCAUUGCUCUUAUUUUAUGCUUAGAAUUAGAGCUUUUAGUUCGUCAAGUCUGGUGGUGGUCUUGAUGAAGUAGGGUAGGAGUAGCUAUGUUAGUUCGUGAAUUCAUUUUAAUUUUCUGCGUCUGUCUUUUGCUUGUGCAAAAAAAAUUGGAGAGUGAUGUUUGGGUGUUCUUUACAAGCAGCAGUGUUCUUAUUUCCCCUUGUUCAAGGCAAGUGAAUUACUCAUUGAUUAUACUUUUAGCACGAGGGCUGUUGGUUCAUCAAGUGUGGUGGAACUUGAUGAAGUAGGGUUGGAGUAGUUAUGCCAGCUUGUGAAUUUGUUCCAAUUUUCUACAUCUAUCUUUUCCUUCUGUAAUUUGCUAGAGGAUUGCCUACAGAUGUUUCUUUCUUUUUUCACCCCUCUUCUGUGCUUUGGAAUUCAGGUCAGCAACUUAAAGGAACAAGAGAUUGCAUUCAUUAUUUUCAAUAAAAAUAUAGUUACCUGCAAUUACUGCUCCCUUUUGGUUCCGGUUGUUCGAAACCACGAGCUAUCAGGUAAAAAGGUUAGGGAUAGACCUGGUGGAAUCCAUUCGGCUGGUUUUAGAAUUAUAUCGAUUAUGGGAGCCUAGCAUAAUUAUGAUUGUUGUGCUAAUGAUACGCUGGCAACUCGAGAUGUUUAACAAGGGUCUAGGUUUGCAUGGCUGAUUCUAGGUUGUCAUUUGCGCCGGCUUAUUGGUGUGGCCUCUUGGUCAGGUAAAAUCUGCUUCUAAUUAUCACAGGUCACCCUCUCAAAUUAUGUAAAGAUUCACUAGAUAUCAGCGAAUAAAGGAUUAACUUGCCACGGGAAGAGCUACUCCUGUUUGAUUUGUGGAGAAGACAGAGAAACGUAGGGCUUUUUUAUAUUAUUCUAACUUCCUGGAGACAAUCUCACAUGUUGGUGAGCUACAGAAUAAGGAUGGAGGGUUGUUCACGUUCAUUACAUUCUGGUUGUUCAGCUUGUAGUAAGUUAUCACCUCGAUGCUAGGAUGCCAGGGCAGGUGGAAACAUCUGGCUGGCUACCCCAUGAGAACCUAAUGGAUGUAUCAUGUUUAGAUGCAGGUGCUGGUAAUCAGGUAGAUCAGAUUUGAAAUCGAUGGAUCGACACCAUUGUCAUCAUCAGGAUUCAGGUUCAGUAUUUCCCUGCCUUGCGACAGUCCGCAACUUCACCGAAGAACUUGUAAUUCAGAUUUUCGUAACAAAUGAUGUUGCAACAUGUCUUUUUAUUGCAAUUAUUGCAACUGGGUAUGUUGAAGUUGAUUCUGCUCCUGUUCAAAAAUAGUUCUCUAUCUCUCUCUCUGAGUCUAAUGAUCAGCUUAAAACUUUCUCCAUGACUUUUCCUUCGAUGAUAUACAUAUUUGCAUCACAGAUUUGGAAGAGAAAUCUCAUCAUGUUGACUGCCUUUUAAACGUGUUUGUCUUUUUUGAGGCAAAAUGUGCAUCUUUGCAAGUUGCAUGCCCAACAUUUUUGUCUGCAGCCCUAUUGACUUUUUGAAUGGGAGGGAAACCCAAGCAGGAAAUUGCCAAUUUUUCUGUCUGACUUGUAUCGAAAAAAGAAAGAACAGGGUUCACAAUCUUGUUUGGUCGAGUUACCGUGGAGAUGUCAAAGUUGAUGGUCAAGAUGGUUGAUUUGGGGUUUUGUUGCUGGAAUUCCUUGAGAAUGUGAUGGGUUCAUGUUCCAUUUGUCAGCAAUGGAGGCUUUACUCAGUUUCUGCUGAGGUGGCUGAUUUUGGAUGCUAUCGGCUUUGUCGACGACUCCUGCUUGAUCUGCGCAUCCAUCAACAAGAAUUCCAUGGCAGUGAAGAAGGAAAAACUGGCAAAUGGGCUCCAAGUUGGUGCUUGUGGCGAACAAGAUCAAUCUGCUGCCUUUUUUGAUUUAUAUUUCUUUGCCCUCUAUCACAUCACGCCAAUCUUUGGAGUCUUACGUUUAGAACAGAAACAUAAACCACACCUUUUGACAUAGUGCUUCAUCAGAGGUUAUCACAGUUCAAACUCAAGAAGCAUUUGAUUGAAAAUGUUUCAUAUACAUUCCAUUAGGUGAAUGGACGAUAGGAAGAGGUCUCCAUUUCAAACUGGAGGAGUUUGGAAUGGGAAAUCCUUGAAGAUCUCUUGGCUUUCCUUGAUCAAGAUUGAUACCGGAAAUUAUAAUAAUUUAAAAAAGAGACGAUGACAAGUUAGUAAAAGUCCAUUUGGAAAAAGAUUGAAGAAAAUCUCCAAGUGUGAACCAUGUCAAGUUGGUGUGCCUAGAUGGAUUAAAAGCAUGAUUGAGGAGGCCGUGGGCGAUAAAGAUGAUGGGAUACUCACCUUGGUUAGGCGUCAUUUUUUGUGUGUUGUGUUUUGUACUUCUCUGUUUUCACCUUGUUUUCUUGUUUCUGCACUGGUACGAUGCAUGUGCUAUGUACGUGAUUUAACCUCUAAUGCAUGCUUAUCCGGUGCAUGACAUAUUCAAAACACAUUUAAAAUCCUUUUGUCCAUAAUAAUACUAUAGGAUUAUUUAACUAAAUAAACCAUUUGUAUA